rnacentral:lncRNA from 1 species
GGGGCAUUGUUGACUGGCUUGCUCUUCAAGGGCACCAACUGUUCUGAUCUCUUGAAGAGCUCCUCAGGCAACCUUCUGUUUCUAGCAAGAUGAUACACCCAAGCCUUGAUGACAAGGCUUGGCUCUCAACCUCCUUGCUCCCCACCUCCUGUGAAAUACACAAAGAAAUUCAGUGAUCAUCGGGGAUGCUCUGGUCCAAACACUACCUGCCAGCCAGACGCAGGAGAUGGAUGGCUCAGCAGUAAUCGUGCUGCUUGAGCUUGGUGUCUAAUGGGGACAGUAGUGACAGGAAGUUCACAGGGACUGGAAGACAUGAGUUCUCUGAGGGAAAGGAAGGUGAAGCCUGGUGCUUAGGACCCUCAGGAGACCAUAGGAUGUGAGAAGGCUCAAGACACCCAGAGGUGGGGUCAGAAACAGGGCAAAGGAGACCAAGCAUGGGAGAGCUGCAGUGGACGUGUACAGACAGGAGAAGCAGGCCCUAAAGAAUCCCUGAGGCGGCAGAGAGGCUGGGCUGUGGAACUUUUUAAUUACUUUGCAUUAGGGGACUGUAGAGACCCAGAAGCCCACCCUUCCCCUCCCCUCAUCAGCUUAGCCCCAACAUAUGGUGGCUACCAAAGUAGUUAAAUCGGCUCUUGGUAGAAAAGGAAAGAGAUUCCUCCCAGGCUCUUCCCAGGGUCCACGGCCACACUCCAGGAGGGCUCAACUCCAGGGCAAGGCAGCUGGGACAGCAGGCAGCUGAAGGAGGACUAUUACUGCACCUUAGGGAAGAGUGCAGUGGCGAGUGGGGAGGACUCUGCUGGGACCCGGGGGUCAUGUGCAUUCCCAUUUAGUUGAGCUCUGCUUAAUCCGGGCCUAGGCUCACAGUAAUGGGGAACGAGGAGAGGCUCCCAUCAGAGACCAAGAAGAUGACAGACUCUCUGUAAAGGCUGUCAGAGGGGUCUGCAUGACCAACCACACCUGCUCCUGUUCCUUUGGGGCUCUUGUGACCUCCCUGUCUUCUUGUGAGAUCUUAUGUUCCUCCAACCCUGAGAGCUACAAACCAAUCUCCGGAAUAAAAAAAUCUGUCCCUCGUGCUGUCAGCGUG